ACAUUAAGCGGGGAAAGAACUAACUAGGAUUCCCUCAGUAACGGCGAGUGAAGCGGGAUGAGCUCAGGAUGUAAAUCUGCGCUAUUAAAGCGCCGAAUUGUGGUCUGUAGACUUUGGUGUUAUCUGCCGGGCCAAGUUCCUUGGAAAAGGACAGCUGAGAGGGUGAGACUCCCGUCCGCCUGGUAGAGUGAGCCUUUGUCAAAGAGUCGAGUUGUUUGGGAUUGCAGCUCUAAUUUGGUGGUAAAUUCCAUCUAAAGCUAAAUAUUGGUGGGAGACCGAUAGCGUACAAGUACCGUGAGGGAAAGAUGCAAAGAACUUUGAAAAGAGAGUUAAAGAGUACCUGAAAUUGCUGAAACGGAAGCGAAGGAAACCAGUGUUUGUUUGUUCAUAUUUCCCUGACCACUUGUGGUUUGGGCGCUGUGGGCUUGCGUCGGUUUGCUUUGGUUUAAUCCCUUGGAAGAGCGCAGUCAGAUUUGAUGUUCUGUUGCUAGCACUGGGUUUGUAUUUUAGU
rnacentral:sRNA from 1 species